ACUCUUCACCUCUGUCUCCUCACAGGGAGAAGAUGAUCUGCAGGAUCUCGCUGCUCCUCAUCUUCACCUCGUGUGUCUCUGGAUCAUUUGUAGUGAAUGUGACUCAGACCUCCUAUCAGGCAGAGGAGAACCACAACAUCACACUGGAGUGGACGUUCACAGUAGAAACAGGCAGAUCGCCCACAUAUCCAAACAUCUAUUGUGAACUGAUAACUGAUGAUAAACUCUCAGUCCUGUAUCGUGUCCGUGAUGGUGCUGAAGUCUCAGAGUCUCAGGAUGAAAAGUUUUCAGGACGAGUUCAGGGUGACAAAGACGCCCUCAGAGAAGGACGAAUCAGACUCCAGCUGUGCAGACUCAGGACUGAGGACUCGGGUCGAUACAGAUGUCAAGUAAACACAGAUUAUGGCUUCAGCUCUGCGAGCUGCAGACUCAACGUCACUGCAGCUGCUGAUCAGCUCCAACCUCAGAGACCAACUUCACCACCACAAGAAGAGAGAGAGGACUGGAAGAUUAUUAUAAUUGUCCUGACAGCAGCAGCAGCAGCAUUAUUCGCUCUGAUUGUGUGUACUUUACUUUGUGUUGUGCUUAGAAAAGUGCCAAAUUUCUGUACAGCUGUCAAGUUUCAUGAACCCUCAGGGACAAAGUCACUAAACCAAGAUACUUCCUGCCUUUGACGUCUACUUGAUCUAGUUGAUAUGAACUGUGUAAAUGAA